GUGGAUGGCUUCAUUUCCCACCUGGGCCUGGGGGCCAAGGAUGCCUAAUUCCUGGAGCGGAGAUGGGCUGAGCCUAGAGAGCCCACCUGGGCUGACGGCUCUGGAAACACAUCAGUCAUGCUGAGCUGUGGGGACCAAGGGGGUGCCGGGAGAGAACGUGGCGCCGGAAACGGAAACGUCUGUGCAGACCAAUGGGGUGCCGAGAGAGAACGCUGACUCCGGAAACGUCCUGGCUGUCUGGGGAGGUGAGUCGCUUCACAGGAAGCGUCCCCCGGUGGCCAUGACCCCAGUGGCCAUGUGGCUGAGGCCCUGGGCAGUGGCUUCGUGACCGAAAGGCCCUGAACCCACCCCGAGGCCCCACAGCUUUUUCUCCAGCUCAGACACUUUCUGGGGCUCAGUCUUGCUGCGGCCCUUGUGGCAUUUGGCAGGCAGUGGGUGGACCAUGAGUGAGUUAGGAGGCCGAACUGCCCACCUCUACAAUGGGUUCCCAGGAGAGCGAACACGGGACCCGCUCCUCCAGGCCUCAGCCCCACUCUGGAAUGAGGUCAACAGCAAGGUACGGUGAGAGCUGGCGGCUUCAUUUUUGGAACCAGGGAGAGAGAGAGAGAGAGAGGUUUAUGAGAGACCUCAUGAGACAGCUCAUGAUGGAAGUGAGACUGAGUUGCAGUGAACCCUGUCACUGAAGAGACAGCCUUCACACUGUGUCUUGCAGGGGAAAAUACAACUCUUUAUUAAAAUUUAUUGCCCUGAAAAAU
rnacentral:lncRNA from 10 species